GACGAACGCUGGCGGCGUGCUUAACACAUGCAAGUCGAACGGAAAGGCCCUGCUUGCAGGGUGCUCGAGUGGCGAACGGGUGAGUAACACGUGGGUGAUCUGCCCCUUACUUUGGGAUAAGCCUGGGAAACUGGGUCUAAUACUGGAUAGGACCAUGCUGUAGGUGGUGUGGUGGAAAGAUUAGUUUCGGUAAGGGAUGAGCUCGCGGCCUAUCAGCUUGUUGGUGGGGUAAUGGCCUACCAAGGCGUCGACGGGUAGCCGGCCUGAGAGGGUGGACGGCCACAUUGAGACUGAGAUACGGCCCAGACUCCUACGGGAGGCAGCAGUGGGGAAUAUUGCACAAUGGGCGCAAGCCUGAUGCAGCGACGCCGCGUGGGGGAUGACGGCCUUCGGGUUGUAAACUCCUUUCAGCCACGACGAAGCCCUUGUGGUGACGGUAGUGGUAGAAGAAGCACCGGCUAACUACGUG
rnacentral:rRNA from 1 species